AGAAAAUUAGUUUAAAUUAAAACAAUAACUUGUCAAGUUACAGAUAUAACUUUAUAUUUUCUU
rnacentral:tRNA from 1 species